CUGGGCGCUCGGAGGGGCCGGUGUGACUUGGGUCUGGUGCUGCUUUAGGAGAUGGGAUGAAAGUUCAACCGCUCCCAUAGAUGCAGCCAUACUGGGCAGACCAUGAGCACGAGCCUGGAUUUCCAAUUCCUGUCAAAGAUACACACAUGAAGGCCCUUGUGUGCCAUAAACACAUGAAGGGGUGCAUUCAACUUCAAAAACUCAUCUAUCACAGAGCUAUAUCCUGAGGUAACUUCCAGCAAGUAGGGAUUCCCAUUAAAACAGGACAGCUAAACGGUGUGUCGCGCACAAUCUUUAACUUGCCCAAACCUUUGGCUUUGAGCUGACACCAUUACAACGUUUUUAGUGAAAAUAUUCUGAAAAUUGGUCAUCAUUUCAUUGUCAUAUUUAUUAAUUUUAGUAAAUUUAACUGUGACUUAAAUGGCAUCUAAUUUUAGUUGAUGAAAAUAACAGCAAAAUAAACCAAAUAUUUGAAAUAUUUUAUACAUUUAUAAAUAUCUGAUUAAUGUUAUAUGUAUAGAAUGUGUUUGGAUAAUUUAAAACAUUAUUAUUGGAUAUUAUAUUCUGUAUUUUUCUUUUAAAAACAUUAAUAUCAGGCAUUAUUAUUACUACCAUUUUUUGUGUUAUUUUUCAUUUUGAAUACUAUUUUUAUAUUUAGAUUUUAAAAUUUAUUUUUAUUAUGGAGUAAUAUUUUGUUAUUGAGUAUAAAUAUAUAAUUAGGGUUUGGUUUAGUUGCUUGUAAUGCAUAAUUUACUGUUAUUAUAUAGUAAGUGCAUGUUAUAUGUGUAACAGGGACACUGUAAAAUAAAGUGUUACCUUAUAUUCUUUAUUUGUUUACUCAUUUUCUUAAUUAAAAUCAUUUAAAUUUAA